UUUAGUAGAGAUGGGGUUUCACCAUAUUGGCAAGGCUGUUCUUGAACUCCUGACAUUAUGAUCCACCUACCUCGACCUCCCAAAGUGCUGGGAUUACAGGCAUGAGCCACCAUGCCCAGCCAAAGAUCAUUUUUUUAUAUAGACUUCAGCCCUUUGUAAAUAUUGUAACUGGGGAGUAUAGAGUAGAAAAAAAGUAUAGUUAAAACAUUUGUUCUACAAAUUAACCUUUAAAAAUAUAAUUACUGCUAAAAAUAGAGUGCUGUUACACUUAAGGAAAAUUAGUGCCAUUUUGGAAAUGAGAUCUUGUGCCAUAAAUACAGCUGAACUGAAUAUAAAUGUUCACAAAUUAAUGCUGUCAAAGGAAUGAGUAAAGCAGAAAAACUUUUAACCAGCAACAUUUCAAGUACGUAGUGUGAUCAAACAUGAUCAUCCAGAAUUUGUAUAUUUUUUUCUUUGUACAGAGGUUACAUAUUCUGGGUGUUCUUUUAUAAAGGAAACAUUUUAAAUCCCACAAAUUGACACUUUCUAUCUUCAAUGGACUAAGAUUUUUUUGGUCAGUAAUCUCUGAAAUUUCCUUAAAUUAUAUACUUAACAUAGCAGAGAAACUGGAUUGUUUUUGUAUAUAAGACUGCUUCCACCUGAAAUGCUGUCAUAAGUACUGGGGGGGUGGGGGAGUGCCCAUCUUGUACAUGAUAUUCUUAGAGGUAAUAAGGUAAUGAUGCAUGAAUUUAUUUUAUAAACUCUUGGACUAUGUAUUUGACAUGUAAAAUAUGUACAGUAUUAACGUCAACCAUCUCUUUAAAGUUAGCCUAUAAAUAUUGUUGUAUAAUUUUCUUUGGUCAGAAACACUUGUACUGAAUAGUGACACUCGGUAAGGAUUUUCAGUGCCAUUUAGCAAAACGUCUUUAGUCUAUGCAACUAGCAAAAAUCUGCAUAAUGCAACAACACAGUUUUCACACUUCAAAUUUUACAUGAGGGGUUCUUCACGAUUCUCCUGGAACCCAGUCUAGCAAAAUGAGAGGAAAGGCCCUAGGGAGAUUUAUUUCUGUUAAAUAGUUAACUCUGCUGAGUAUGACAAAUAGUGUCUACUAUCUCAACCCUCCAAAAUUUGC
rnacentral:lncRNA from 1 species